rnacentral:rRNA from 1 species
GCGUGAACGAUGAAGGCCUUAGGGUUGUAAAGUUCUUUCGCCGGUGACGAUAAUGACGGUAACCGGAGAAGAAGCCCCGGCUAACUCCGUGCCAGCAGCCGCGGUAAUACGGAGGGGGCUAGCGUUGUUCGGAAUUACUGGGCGUAAAGCGCACGUAGGCGGACCAUUAAGUCGGGGGUGAAAUCCCGGGGCUCAACCCCGGAACUGCCUUCGAUACUGGUGGUCUGGAGGUCGAGAGAGGCGAGUGGAAUUCCGAGUGUAGAGGUGAAAUUCGU